rnacentral:snoRNA from 1 species
GUUAAGUGUUAUCACCAAAUGUUUUUGAGUUCUUUCCCAUACUAAAACAGAAUUUAAUGCUUGCAAACCUGCUUGUACUCUGGUUUGCAAGUUUGGCUUUUCUGUUACAUGU